rnacentral:rRNA from 1 species
UACGUAGGGCGCGAGCGUUGUCCGGAAUUAUUGGGCGUAAAGAGCUCGUAGGCGGCCUGUUGCGUCCGCUGUGAAAUCCCAGGGCUCAACCCUGGGCGUGCAGUGGAUACGGGCAGGCUGGAGGCAGGCAGGGGAGAACGGAAUUCCCGGUGUAGCGGUGAAAUGCGUAGAUAUCGUCUGGAACGCCGAAGGUGAAAACAGCUCGCUGGGGCUGCGCUGACGCUGAGACACGAAAGCCAGGGGAGCGAACGGG